rnacentral:rRNA from 1 species
UGGGGAAUUUUGGACAGUGGGGGAAACCCUGAUCCAGCCAUCCCGCGUGUGCGAUGAAGGCCUUCGGGUUGUAAAGCACUUUUGGCAGGAAAGAAACGUCAUGGGUUAAUACCCCGUGAAACUGACGGUACCUGCAGAAUAAGCACCGGCUAACUACGUGCCAGCAGCCGCGGUAAUACGUAGGGUGCAAGCGUUAAUCGGAAUUACUGGGCGUAAAGCGUGCGCAGGCGGUUCGGAAAGAAAGAUGUGAAAUCCCAGAGCUCAACUUUGGAACUGCAUUUUUAACUACCGGGCUAGAGUGUGUCAGAGGGAGGUGGAAUUCCGCGUGUAGCAGUGAAAUGCGUAGAUAUGCGGAGGAACACCGAUGGCGAAGGCAGCCUCCUGGGAUAACACUGACGCUCAUGCACGAAAGCGUGGGGAGCAAACAGG